AGUAAAAGUCGUAACAAGGUUUCCGUAGGUGAACCUGCGGAAGGAUCAUUAACGAGUUUUGAAAGGGGUUGUAGCUGGCCUUCCGAGGCAUGUGCACGCCCUGCUCAUUCCACUCUACACCUGUGCACUUACUGUGGGUCUCAGGCGAGCGUCGGUCGCUUCGCGGCGUCGUCGUUCAACUGGGCUCACGUUUUACUACAAACUAUUAAAGUAUCAGAAUGUCUACUGCGAAUUAACGCAUUUAAAUACAACUUUCAGCAACGGAUCUCUUGGCUCUCGCAUCGAUGAAGAACGCAGCGAAAUGCGAUAAGUAAUGUGAAUUGCAGAAUUCAGUGAAUCAUCGAAUCUUUGAACGCACCUUGCGCUCCUUGGUAUUCCGAGGAGCAUGCCUGUUUGAGUGUCAUGAAAUUCUCAACCUAACGAGUCUUUGCGGGCUCGGUAGGCUUGGACUUGGAGGUUCUUGUCGGCCUAACGGUCGGCUCCUCUUAAAUGCAUUAGCUCGGUUCCUUGCGGAUCGGCUCACGGUGUGAUAAUUGUCUACGCCGCGACCGUUGAAGCGUUUUGGCCGGCUUCUAAUCGUCUCGUUGGAGACACUACUCUUUAUGACCUUCUGACCUCAAAUCAGGUAGGACUACCCGCUGAACUUAAGCAUAUCANUAAGCGGAGGA
rnacentral:rRNA from 1 species